GGGGGAUAACACUUGGAAACAGGUGCUAAUACCGCAUAACCAUAGUUACCGCAUGGUAACUAUGUAAAAGGUGGCUAUGCUACCGCUUUUGGAUGGGCCCGCGACGCAUUAGCUAGUUGGUGGGGUAAAGGCUUACCAAGGCAAUGAUGCGUAGCCGAACUGAGAGGUUGAUCGGCCACAUUGGGACUGAGACACGGCCCAAACUCCUACGGGAGGCAGCAGUAGGGAAUCUUCCACAAUGGGCGAAAGCCUGAUGGAGCAACGCCGCGUGGGUGAAGAAGGUCUUCGGAUCGUAGAACCCUGUUGUUAGAGAAGAAAGUGCGUGAGAGCAACUGUUCACGUUUCGACGGUAUCUAACCAGAAAGCCACGGCUAACUACGUGCCAGCAGCCGCGGUAAUACGUAGGUGGCAAGCGUUAUCCGGAUUUAUUGGGCGUAAAGAGAACGCAGGCGGUCUUUUAAGUCUGAUGUGAAAGCCUUCGGCUUAACCGGAGUAGUGCAUUGGAAACUGGGAGACUUGAGUGCAGAAGAGGAGAGUGGAACUCCAUGUGUAGCGGUGAAAUGCGUAGAUAUAUGGAAGAACACCAGUGGCGAAAGCGGCUCUCUGGUCUGUAACUGACGCUGAGGUUCGAAAGCGUGGGUAGCAAACAGGAUUAGAUACCCUGGUAGUCCACGCCGUAAAC
rnacentral:rRNA from 1 species